rnacentral:rRNA from 1 species
AGCAGGCGCGCAAAUUACCCAAUCCCGACACGGGGAGGUAGUGACAAUAAAUAACAAUACGGGGCUCUUUCGGGUCUCGUAAUUGGAAUGAGUACAAUUUAAAUCCCUUAACGAGGAACAAUUGGAGGGCAAGUCUGGUGCCAGCGGCCGCGGUAAUUCCAGCUCCAAUAGCGUAUAUUAAAGUUGUUGCAGUUAAAAAGCUCGUAGUUGAAUUUCGGGAUUGANACAUCGGUCGUGCCUUAAGGGGUAUGAACUGGUGUAGUCAAUUUCUCACCUUCUGGAGAACCGCGAUGCCCUUAAUUGGGUGUCACGGGGAACCAGGACCUUUACUUUGAAAAAAUUAGAGUGUUUAAAGCAGGCAUUUUGCUUGAAUACAUUAGCAUGGAAUAAUAAAAUAGGACGGCAUGAUUCUAUUUUGUUGGUUUCUAGGAUCACCGUAAUGAUUAAUAGGGAUAGUUGGGGGCAUUAGUAUUCAAUUGUCAGAGGUGAAAUUCUUGGAUUUAUUGAAGACUAGCUACUGCGAAAGCAUUUGCCAAGGAUGUUUUCAUUAAUCAAGAACGAAAGUUAGGGGAUCGAAGACGAUCAGAUACCGUCGUAGUCUUAACCAUAAACUAUGCCGACUAGGAAUCAGACGAUGUUAAUUUUUUAAUGACUCGUUUGGCACCUUACGGGAAACCAAAGUGUUUGGGUU